rnacentral:rRNA from 1 species
GACGAACGCUGGCGGCGUGCUUAACACAUGCAAGUCGAACGGGCCUUGUCCCCUUUUUUUUUGGGGGUGGGGUUAGUGACGAACGGGUGAGUAACACGUGAGUAACCUGCCCCUCACUUCUGGAUAACCGCUUGAAAGGGUGGCUAGUACGGGGUGUUCUGGCCUGCUCGCAUGGGUGGGUUUGGAAAGAUUCGACCGGUUUGGUUGUUUUGGUGGGGGAUGGGCUCGCGGCCUAUCAGCUUGUUGGUGGGGUGAUGGCCUGCCAAGGCUUUGCCGGGUAGCCGGCCUGAGAGGGUGGGCGGUCACACUGGGACUGAGACACGGCCCAGACUCCUACGGGAGGCAGCAGUGGGGAAUAUUGCACAAUGGGCGCAAGCCUGAUGCAGCGACGCCGCGUGAGGGAUGGAGGCCUUCGGGUUGUGAACCUCUUUCGCCAGUGAAGAAGGUCCUGCUCUUUGUGGUGGGGUUGACGGUAGCUGGGUUAAUGAAGCGCCGGCUAACUGCGUG